rnacentral:rRNA from 1 species
UACGGGGGGAGCAAGCGUUGUUCGGAUUUACUGGGCGUAAAGGGCGCGUAGGCGGCCACCGCAAGUCGGUUGUGAAAUCUCUGGGCUUAACCCAGAAAGGUCAACCGAUACUGCGGGGCUAGAGUGCAGAAGGGGCAACUGGAAUUCUCGGUGUAGCGGUGAAAUGCGUAGAUAUCGAGAGGAACACCUGCGGCGAAGGCGGGUUGCUGGGCUGACACUGACGCUGAGGCGCGAAGGCCAGGGGGGCAAACGGG